rnacentral:rRNA from 1 species
ACCAGCAGCCGUAUCACCCUGCGGCUCUCAAAUGGCAGCCCACUAAAGCUCAGCAGGGUUGAGCCUGGUCAGCACCUGGAUGGGAGACCUCCUGGGAAGCAGUGGUUGCUGCUGGAA